rnacentral:misc_RNA from 1 species
GGGAGUGUACUGAUGUAUAUGUACAGGAGGGAGGGCAGCGUGAUUCAGAACAGGAUUUUAUAUUGCAGAGAAGGGCGUGGUCAGGUCACAACUCAGAUCUUCUUGUACUUGUGCCAGCAGAUGAGCAUGUCCACGCAGCGCGGGAAGAUGUAUAAACGGCACCCCCUCCUCCCAUCCCCGCCUCGGCGCCUCCGCCGCCUGCCGCCGGCCCCGGUCGGGACGCGCACUGCCCCAUGCGGAGCGGCUCCAAGAACUAAAAACAGUCCUCCUCUACAAGUCGAUCGCAGGCGGCGGUACGGAGCAAUCGAGCAGAGCCUCUCUGCUGCAGAGGAGGAGACGCCGCCCCACCCCACUCUAGUUUUCGCCGCCGCAUCGCGGACGACGCGGGGUUGUUUGGAUUGGAUAAGCUCUACCGUGUACUACGCGGUG